CUUGAUGGGACCAUUGCAGGGUAUCGUGAGAACAUUAUGAGAAGAGAUUUCUGAAGUUGAGACCUGACACUCAAAGAUAGUAGGAUUGGCUAUACAUGUGUGGGUGGGAUAGCUAGGGCAAGGAUGGGAGGCAAUGCUUGCCUAUGACUGGCCAAUGUGUGUUGCAAAAUCCACAGGUAGUUAAGACACAGUGUGAGAACUUUGGGAAUGUUCAUUAGAGCUGUUUGAAGGUACAGACAUGGGAUUCAGGAGCAUUUCAGUGGACAGUUGAUUCACUGCACAGACUGACUAGUGAGAAUAUGCAGAAUCAAGAAAAAACUUAGAACACAGGUCAUACCAAUAGGAGCCUGGUUGGACUGCAGGGUAUGUUGCUCAGUCAUAGAGCGUGUGUGCAGGACAAAAUUCCAUAUUUAAUACCCUAGCACUGCAGCAUCUCUCCACACACGCAGCAUAGCACGCACGCACACACACACACACACACACACAGACACGCACAUGCACAUACACACCAUACCACAGCACAAAAUGCACACCAUACCACAGUACCACACACACACACACACACACACACACACACCAUACCACAGCACAUCACAUACACAAACACACCAUACACAUACACACACACAUAUCACACUACAGCAUACCGCACACACACACCACAUCACAGCACACUACAUACACAUACAAACACACCACACACACAUAUACAUACAACACACCACACAUGCACACCUACACAUACCACAUAUCACACUUAC
rnacentral:lncRNA from 1 species